CAGUCGCCACGGUAGUACGUAGGUGGCAAGCGUUGUCCGGAAUUAUUGGGCGUAAAGGGCUCGCAGGCGGUUUCUUAAGUCUGAUGUGAAAGCCCCCGGCUCAACCGGGGAGGGUCAUUGGAAACUGGGAAACUUGAGUGCAGAAGAGGAGAGUGGAAUUCCACGUGUAGCGGUGAAAUGCGUAGAGAUGUGGAGGAACACCAGUGGCGAAGGCGACUCUCUGGUCUGUAACUGACGCUGAGGAGCGAAAGCGUGGGGAGCGAACAGGAUUAGAUACCCCAGUAGUCCCUGUCUCUUUACA
rnacentral:rRNA from 1 species